GCGCUAACUCUCCAAUUUAGCCUGCUAGUCGUGCGGGUUUAGACCCGCGGCGUAUAGCUCAUUAACACGUGGCCAAACUACCCUACAGACGAGAACAACCUCGGGAAACUGAGGCUAAAACUCGAUACGCGUUGCACGGAUGAACACGGCGACGCUCAAACGCUUCGGCGCUGUAGGAUGUGGCUGCGGCCGAUUAGGUAGACGGUGGGGUAACGGCCCACCGUGCCGAUAAUCGGUACGGGUUGUGAGAGCAAGAGCCCGGAGACGGAAUCUGAGACAAGAUUCCGGGCCCUACGGGGCGCAGCAGGCGCGAAACCUUUACACUGCACGCCAGUGCGAUAAGGGGACCCCGAGUGAAAGGGCAUAUCGCCCUUUCUUUUCUGAACNGUAGGGAGGUUCAAGAACAAGAGCUGGGCAAGACCGGUGCCAGCCGCCGCGGUAAUACCGGCAGCUCGAGUGAUGACCGAUUUUAUUGGGCCUAAAGCGUCCGUAGCUGGCCNCGCAAGUCUGUCGGGAAAUCCACCCGCUUAACGGGUGGGCGUCCGGCGGAAACUGUGCGGCUUGGGACAAGAAAGGCUCAAGGGGGUACCUUCGGGGUAAGGAAUUGAAAUCCCGUAAUNCUGAACCGACCACCNGAUUUGGGAAAAGCACCNANAAAAGAACUGNUCCNANANAUNAAAGGAAANAAAAACUGGGGNUCNUNNAACCCNGAAUUANAANANCCCNGNUAUUCCCNAGCCCAUAAAACAAUGUUUCNNUANG
rnacentral:rRNA from 1 species